rnacentral:lncRNA from 13 species
GAAAAGGUAAUCAUUCCACUUUGCGUUUUCCCCAGUUUCUUACGUAGGCUGGUCGACCUGCAUGAUCAAGGAGCACACCUCCAGCCUCUAAUCAUUGACAAGCAAAUAAUUGCCGGAUUGGAACUCUGAGUGAUCUGGUUUGUCCCGAAACAAAGCUCCUACAGCACUGGAACAGUUAAUUUAUUUCUCCAGACAAAGAGGGCUCCGUUGCAAAGCUCAUCUGGUAUCAUCUUCGUUAGCUUGAUGGCUAGCAGCUUGGCAUCUCUGUCAAGCAGGCUUCAAACUGUCUUCUAAGCGGGAUUCCGGGACAAUAAAUAGCAGUCCUAGCUGUUAAAAGCGAACCACGUCGUGAAAUCCACGACUAAAUACCAGGUUUGGGCUACAAGUGUGGAGGGUGGAUGGAGGUGAUGGUGGACAGUAGCUGGCUGCUGUGGUGGAGGUCCCCCAGACCUUCUACAACCGCACCGUGGGCCUGCUGGGCCUCUGGAGCUCCAACCACACCGAUGACUCCCUGCAGUCUGACGGGAAGCUGAUGACCUUUCCCAAAAACAACCCUCCCCCGGAGGAGAGCCUGCACCCCUUUGGCCUGACCUGUAACAUGCCUCCCAUCGUGACUGAGCCCACAGUGAUCCGCUGUAAGUUCAAAUCCACUGUUCACGUGCAGAUCGGCACUCAAGAUGCCAACAAUAUAAGCUUCUCAAUGCUCUUCCCCAGGCCACCACAAGCCUCUGUUGGGAAAAGUGAGCUACAAACACACACACACACACACACACGCAACUCCCCUCUUAGUGAAGUUACCUAUAAUCCCACCUGUAUCUCUCCCUAUAGGUGAUGGCAUAUUGACCUGGACACCACUCGACAUCCAGCUCGUCUACCUGGCCAUCAGAGUUAAUGACCAGCUGUUCAGCUCUCAGUUCACCCUCAUCCUGCAGGUGUGCAACUGCCUCAACGGUGGCACCUGCCAAUACGACAGCAUAGUGAACAACCAUCUGCAGGGGAGAUUUCAGGUAAACAAAUGCAGACAUACAUAGACAGACAGGCAAAACAAUGUGGGGAGCACUUCUAUAUGGACUUGGGUGUUUUCUCCCAGAGCACAGUAUAGUCCUGGGUUUUGAGUGUGAGAUGAUAUUCCCAUGCCGAUCAACCCACACACCC